rnacentral:rRNA from 1 species
AUUGAACGCUGGCGGCAGGCCUAACACAUGCAAGUCGAACGAGUGGCGGACGGGUGAGGAAUGUCUGGGAACCUGCUCGAUGGAGGGGGAUAACUACAGGAAACGGUAGCUAAUACCGCAUCCCAUCGGAUGUGUCUAGAUGGGAUUAGCUUGUAGGUGAGGUAACGGCUCACCUAGGCGACGAUCCCUAGCUGGUCUGAGAGGAUGACCAGCCACACUGGGACUGAGACACGGUCCAGACGCCUACGGGAGGCAGCAGUGGGGAAUAUUGGACAAUGGGCGCAAGCCUGAUGCAGCCAUGCCGCGUGUGUGAUGAAGGCCUUCGGGUUGUAAAGUACUUUCAGCGGGGAGGCGUUACCCGCAGAAGAAGCACCGGCUAACUCCGUGCCAGCAGCCGCGGUAAUAC